GGGGCAUUAGCUCAGUUGGGAGAGCGCAUCGUUCGCAACGAUGAGGUCGUCGGUUCGAUCCCGAUAUGCUCCACCA
rnacentral:tRNA from 2 species